AUCUGGCAAAAGUCUCACAGAACAGCCCCGCUUUUUCAAAGCCUGGUAUUCUUCUGUCCCCAUCACAAGGAAUAACUCAUUCCUCUGCACGUGUGUAUGUGCGUGCUUAUGGACGAGUUGAUGUUGUGCCACGGUUGUUGUGUGAAAGCCCCGGUGAAGGCAACGGCCGCGUGGAACGUGUGCAGGCUGGCGGAUGCGGUCCCUCAGAAAGCGGUUGGAUCCCUGAUGAGCCUGUAGAGGCACCUCAAGGCCCCGCAAAGAUUUGGAAAUACCUCAGCUUCUUUUUGUGACCAAUCUCAGCAGCGUCGCCCUUUCUGGUUGACACCUUCCAAUCUCCUGUGCUGUUGGAGACUGAAGCUGGAGCUGCUCAAAGGAUCAGUCCUUUGAAGUGUUAAUGUGAGUCGUGCCUGCGAACCUGAAAGUGCACGUGUGCUCUCAGCCCGGUUCACAGCAGCGCUGUUUGUAGAAACGUUUUGUGUGGUCCCUCUUCUCGGUGCUGCGUGGGAAGCGAAUUCCCCUCCUUCAGCUGCCG